rnacentral:rRNA from 1 species
AUUGAACGCUGGCGGCAUGCUUUACACAUGCAAGUCGAACGGUAGACCCUUUCGGGGGUUGAGAGUGGCGAACGGGUGAGUAAUGCAUCGGAACGUGCCCAGUCGUGGGGGAUAACGCAGCGAAAGUUGUGCUAAUACCGCAUACGACCUGAGGGUGAAAGCGGGGGACCGGUAACGGCCUCGCGCGAUUGGAGCGGCCGAUGUCUGAUUAGCUAGUUGGUGAGGUAAAGGCUCACCAAGGCGACGAUCAGUAGCGGGUCUGAGAGGAUGAUCCGCCACACUGGGACUGAGACACGGCCCAGACUCCUAUGGGAGGCAGCAGUGGGGAAUUUUGGACAAUGGGGGCAACCCUGAUCCAGCCAUGCCGCGUGCGGGAAGAAGGCCU